UUCUCUACGGGGAGCUUUGUCCUUACUUUGAACACUGCUUCCUCGCUCCAGUGCAGCUCCCUCAGCCUGCUGCCACAGACCCUGCAUCUUACUCACCCAGACUUUAACUUCCACCGUGAUCUUUGGGCCUUUCCAGUGCAGAUCCUUGAUACAGACUUGCGGGAGACACUGUUGCAGGCUCAGGUCUUUAGCUGGACCCGUGGAGGACACUGCUAAGUCUGGAGCCACCACUACCAAAAUGCACCUCACAACCUAGUGUGUUCCUUCCUUUGCAUCACUAUGAGGAAUGAAACAGCACGGAGAAGUCAAAAAGGCACAUAAAAAAGGGAUCAACUGCUACAAUGACCUUCGGACAUCAUUAUUAAAGUAGUAGAAAUGAUUAACAAGGAAGAUGCUACUGAGUCUGGGGUAUGAGGACAGAUGAAGAGAAAGGGUACCCAGCUUUGAAAAGUGACUUCUGAGCUGAGUUUCAAGUAAAAAUAAAAUACGCUACCUAUUGUGAUUCUGGCAUCCCAUCAGUUUUGGUCCCUGACAACUCCCAAGCCUGGCUCCUCUGCUUUCUUUACAGGUAUUUCUAUGCUUUGAAAGUUUCUUCAACCAAUUCCCAUUCUGUUUAAACUGACUAGAAUCAAUUGCUGUGGCCUGCAAUCAAGAAAGAACUCUACUACAGGUUUU